UAGGGAAUCUUCGGCAAUGGGGGCAACCCUGACCGAGCAACGCCGCGUGAGUGAAGAAGGUUUUCGGAUCGUAAAGCUCUGUUGUAAGAGAAGAACGUGUGUGAGAGUGGAAAGUUCACACAGUGACGGUAACUUACCAGAAAGGGACGGCUAACUACGUGCCAGCAGCCGCGGUAAUACGUAGGUCCCGAGCGUUGUCCGGAUUUAUUGGGCGUAAAGCGAGCGCAGGCGGUUUAAUAAGUCUGAAGUUAAAGGCAGUGGCUUAACCAUUGUUCGCUUGGGAAACUGUUAAACUUGAGUGCAGAAGGGGAGAGUGGAAUUCCAUGUGUAGCGGUGAAAUGCGUAGAUAUAUGGAGGAACACCGGUGGCGAAAGCGGCUCUCUGGUCUGUAACUGACGCUGAGGCUCGAAAGCGUGGGGAGCAAACAGG
rnacentral:rRNA from 1 species